UUUAACAUUGCUCAUCUUUCUGGCAGAACUGGAGAACAUCGCUAUAAAUCAAAACCAGCUUAAGAAUACUUGUAAGAUUUCCUUCUCUCUGCAAAUUGUUUACCUUCAGUAGCAAUUUAAAUUAUGAAUAAUAGUGUGUUCGUAAUCUGAAAUAAACGAGGUAAGAUUUGGGGAGUUGGGAAGUAUUGUUUCUAUACACCUAUGUAAGUGAAGGAAUGCAAAAAAGUACAUCAUUUACAAAGCUUUGUAAUGUGUUUUCCUCAAAAAUAAUGUUAAAUAAGAUCUUUCCCUUAUUGUACUGUUACUACAUUGGCAAGCCCUCAUAGCAGUCAAGUUCUUGGACGUGCAAAAAUAUCAAUCAGAGGGGAUCUUAUUGCUCUCUAUAGCUACCUGAAGGGAGGUUAUGGUGAGGUGCGGUCAGCCUCUUCUCUUGUGAAACUAGUAAUAGGACUAGAAGGAAUAGCUUGAAGUUGUGCUAGGGGAGAUUCAGGAUGGAUGGUAGGAAAUACUUCUAUGAGAGAGUGGUCAGGUGCAGAAAAAGGCUACCUGGGGAGGUGGUGGAGUUGCCGUGCCUGGAGGUGUUCAAGAAGCAUUUAGAUGUUGUACUGAGGGACAGGGUUUAGUGGGAAAUACUGGUGAUAGGUGGAUGGUUGGACUGGAUGAUCUCGGAGGUCUUUUCCAACUUUGGUGAUUCUAUGAUUUUAUUUCAGAGCGGAUGAAUCUGGAAAAAGGUAGAAGAUCGUGCUAAAAUGUAAUGUCUACAGGAAAGAGGAAGCUCUGCAUACAGCCAUGAGCAAAGCACAUUGAUGUUGACAUGUCCUGGUUGGUUAGUCAGCUUCUGUGCAGAAACAGGAAAAGUGCUGACAAACUCAACAGAAGAAGUUCUGUCUUGUGAUGAAACAGCCCAUGUUCUAAUGACUGGUGACAGCAUGGAGAACUAAAAGUCUCGUAAGUCCAUGACACUAUAAUAGAUAGAACUGCAUUAGCAGAUCAUCUACAGCAUUUAAGCCAAACUUGUGCAUAGUCAGAUACCUUCUUACACUAUAACUAGAUAUGGAAAUAUUUUUUGAAUGUACAUGUGGAUUGGCAGGGAAUAUGCUACUAAUUAGAC
rnacentral:lncRNA from 1 species